CUGUGAGCUCGAUGAGUAGGGCGGGACACGUGGUAUCCUGUCUGAAUAUGGGGGGACCAUCCUCCAAGGCUAAAUACUCCUGACUGACCGAUAGUGAACCAGUACCGUGAGGGAAAGGCGAAAAGAACCCCGGCGAGGGGAGUGAAAAAGAACCUGAAACCGUGUACGUACAAGCAGUGGGAGCCUCUUAAUGGGGUGACUGCGUACCUUUUGUAUAAUGGGUCAGCGACUUAUAUUCUGUAGCAAGGUUAACCGAAUAGGGGAGCCGAAGGGAAACCGAGUCUUAACUGGGCGUUAAGUUGCAGGGUAUAGACCCGAAACCCGGUGAUCUAGCCAUGGGCAGGUUGAAGGUUGGGUAACACUAACUGGAGGACCGAACCGACUAAUGUUGAAAAAUUAGCGGAUGACUUGUGGCUGGGGGUGAAAGGCCAAUCAAACCGGGAGAUAGCUGGUUCUCCCCGAAAGCUAUUUAGGUAGCGCCUCGUGAAUUCAUCUCCGGGGGUAGAGCACUGUUUCGGCAAGGGGGUCAUCCCGACUUACCAACCCGAUGCAAACUGCGAAUACCGGAGAAUGUUAUCACGGGAGACACACGGCGGGUGCUAACGUCCGUCGUGAAGAGGGAAACAACCCA
rnacentral:rRNA from 1 species